GACAGAGGUGCCGAGCGUUAGGCGGAAUCACUGGGCUUAAAGCGUGUGUAGGCGGACUUCUAAGUACCUUGUGAAACUCCGCUGCCUGGAUCCGGGAUCGCGUUAUACUGCGUGACUUGAGGAUUUCAGGGGAAUGGGGAACUCCAGGUGUAGCGGUGAAAUGCGCAGAUAUCUGGGGGAAGGCCGGCGGCGAAGGCGCCAUUCUGGGAAAUUCCUGACACUGAGGCACGAAAGCGUGGGGAGCAAACAGG
rnacentral:rRNA from 1 species